rnacentral:rRNA from 1 species
UACGUAGGGUGCAAGCGUUGUCCGGAAUUAUUGGGCGUAAAGAGCUCGUAGGCGGUCUGUCGCGUCGAAUGUGAAAACCCGGGGCUCAACCCCGGGCCUGCAUUCGAUACGGGCAGACUAGAGUUCGGUAGGGGAGUCUGGAAUUCCUGGUGUAGCGGUGAAAUGCGCAGAUAUCAGGAGGAACACCAAUUGCGAAGGCAGCUCGCUGGAACGUUACUGACGCUGAGGCGCGAAAAGCGUGGGGGAGCAAACAGG